GCAUGUGGUUUAAUUCGAAGCAACGCGAAGAACCUUACCAAAUCUUGACAUCCUUGACAACUCUAGAGAUAGAGCCUUCCCUUCGGACAAGACAGGUGGUGCAUGGUUGUCGUCAGCUCGUGUCGUGAGAUGUUGGGUUAAGUCCCGCAACGAGCGCAACCCUUAAGCUUAGUUGCCAGCAUUAAGUUGGGCACUCUAAGUUGACUGCCGGUGACAAACCGGAGGAAGGUGGGGAUGACGUCAAAUCAUCAUGCCCCUUAUGAUUUGGGCUACACACGUGCUACAAUGGACAAUACAAAGGGCAAAUCCCAUAAAGUUGUUCUCAGUUCGGAUUGUAGUCUGCAACUCGACUACAUGAAGCUGGAAUCGCUAGUAAUCGUAGAUCAGCAUGCUACGGUGAAUACGUUCCCGGGUCUUGUACACACCGCCCGUCACACCACGAGAGUUUGUAACACCCGAAGCCGGUGGAGUAACC
rnacentral:rRNA from 1 species